AUUGAACGCUGGCGGCAGGCCUAACACAUGCAAGUCGAACGGUAACAGGAAGAAGCUUGCUUCUUUGCUGACGAGUGGCGGACGGGUGAGUAAUGUCUGGGAAACUGCCUGAUGGAGGGGGAUAACUACUGGAAACGGUAGCUAAUACCGCAUAACGUCGCAAGACCAAAGAGGGGGACCUUCGGGCCUCUUGCCAUCGGAUGUGCCCAGAUGGGAUUGGCUAGUAGGAGGGGUAAGGGCUCACCUAGGCGACGAUCCCUAGCUGGUCUGAGAGAAUGACCGGCCACACGGGAACUGGGCCACGGUCCAGACUCCUACGGGAGGCAGCAGUGGGGAAUAUUGCACAAUGGGCGCAAGCCUGAUGCAGCCAUGCCGCGUGUAUGAAGAAGGCCUUCGGGUUGUAAAGUACUUUCAGCGGGGAGGAAGGGAGUAAAGUUAAUACCUUUGCUCAUUGACGUUACCCGCAGAAGAAGCACCGGCUAACUCCGUG
rnacentral:rRNA from 1 species